CCUACGGGAGGCAGCAGUGGGGAAUUUUGGACAAUGGGCGCAAGCCUGAUCCAGCCAUGCCGCGUGCGGGAAGAAGGCCUUCGGGUUGUAAACCGCUUUUGUCAGGGAAGAAAAGGUUCUGGUUAAUACCUGGGACUCAUGACGGUACCUGAAGAAUAAGCACCGGCUAACUACGUGCCAGCAGCCGCGGUAAUACGUAGGGUGCAAGCGUUAAUCGGAAUUACUGGGCGUAAAGCGUGCGCAGGCGGUUAUGCAAGACAGAGGUGAAAUCCCCGGGCUCAACCUGGGAACUGCCUUUGUGACUGCAUAGCUAGAGUGCGGCAGAGGGGGAUGGAAUUCCGCGUGUAGCAGUGAAAUGCGUAGAUAUGCGGAGGAACACCGAUGGCGAAGGCAAUCCCCUGGGCCUGCACUGACGCUCAUGCACGAAAGCGUGGGGAGCAAACAGGAUUAGAUACCCUGGUAGUCCACGCCCUAAACGAUGUCAACUGGUUGUUGGGAGGGUUUCUUCUCAGUAACGUAGCUAACGCGUGAAGUUGACCGCCUGGGGAGGUACGGCCGCGAGUAGAACGACAAGAGAGUAGACGCGUGAGACGUAGACCGACGGACGACGACGAGGGGAGGAGG
rnacentral:rRNA from 1 species